UGAUGGCCAGUUUUUCCUCUUUAACUAAAGUCGACAUUCUGGAUAACAACAGACAUCUGCUGGACCUAAUGCUCAUCCAAAACAGAGCAGGAAACACCAGACAGGACCUGACUUAUGCACAUUUGGUAAAUCUCUGUGUACUAAUCGUCAGGGAUGCAUUUGGUGCAUCUAGGUGACAUAUGAAGAUUGUAAUGCCGUUGGUCUGUGUGAAUGCGGGUGAUGGAGAAGUGGAGUGUGCAGAACACAUUAAGAGCAGAACAUGCUUAUGUAACCAAUGCAGCAAAAGCACCAAAGCUCAAGGCAUCAGAACACAAGCACCAACAGCUGAUGUUUUUAUGUGUGGUAUAAUUAUUUACAUUUACAUUUACAUUUAGUCAUUUAGCAGACGCUUUUGUCC